GCGGCGAUAGCUCAGUUGGGAGAGCGCCAGACUGAAGAUCUGGAGGUCCCCAGUUCGAUCCUGGGUUGCCGCA